rnacentral:rRNA from 1 species
UUGGGCCCAACCUCCCAUCCGUGUCUAUUGUACCCUGUUGCUUCGGCGGGCCCGCCGCUUGUCGGCCGCCGGGGGGGCGCCUCUGCCCCCCGGGCCCGUGCCCGCCGGAGACCCCAACACGAACACUGUCUGAAAGCGUGCAGUCUGAGUUGAUUGAAUGCAAUCAGUUAAAACUUUCAACAAUGGAUCUCUUGGUUCCGGCAUCGAUGAAGAACGCAGCGAAAUGCGAUAACUAAUGUGAAUUGCAGAAUUCAGUGAAUCAUCGAGUCUUUGAACGCACAUUGCGCCCCCUGGUAUUCCGGGGGGCAUGCCUGUCCGAGCGUCAUUGCUGCCCUCAAGCCCGGCUUGUGUGUUGGGUCGCCGUCCCCCUCUCCGGGGGGACGGGCCCGAAAGGCAGCGGCGGCACCGCGUCCGAUCCUCGAGCGUAUGGGGCUUUGUCACAUGCUCUGUAGGAUUGGCCGGCGCCUGCCGACGUUUUCCAACCAUUCUU